AGAGUUUGAUCCUGGCUCAGAACGAACGCUGGCGGCGCGUUUUAAGCAUGCAAGUCGAACGGUAGAAAGGUGCUUGCACCUUUUGAGAGUGGCGAACGGGUGAGUAACACGUAGGUAAUCUACCUUGGGAUUGGGGAUAGCCCAUGGAAACAUGGGGUAAUACCGGAUAUGGUCUUGACUUCAAAAGGAGUUAAGAAGAAAGAAGCGAUUGCUUCGUCCUAAGAUGAGCCUGCGGCCCAUUAGUUAGUUGGUGGGGUAAUGGCCUACCAAGGCAGCGAUGGGUAGCCGGCCUGAGAGGGUGACCGGCCACAUUGGGACUGAGACACGGCCCAGACUCCUACGGGAGGCAGCAGCUAAGAAUCUUCCGCAAUGGGCGAAAGCCUGACGGAGCGACGCCGCGUGAACGAAGAAGGCCGAAAGGUUGUAAAGUUCUUUUCUUAGUGAAGAAUAAUGAUUGGAGGAAAUGCCAGUCAGAUGACGUUAUCUAAGGAAUAAGCCCCGGCUAAUUACGUGCCAGCAGCCGCGGUAACACGUAUGGGGCAAGCGUUGUUCGGACUUAUUGGGCGUAAAGGGCGUGUAGGCGGUUUAUCAAGCCUGGUGUGAAAUACCUCAGCUUAACUGGGGAAACGCGCUGGGAACUGAUUAACUAGAGUUUGAGAGGGGAGACUGGAAUUCCAGGUGUAGGGGUGAAAUCUGUAGAUAUCUGGAAGAACACCGGUGGCGAAGGCGAGUCUCUGGCUCAUGACUGACGCUGAGGCGCGAAAGCGUAGGGAGCGAACAGGAUUAGAUACCCUGGUAGUCUACGCUGUAAACGAUGUGCACUAGGUGUUGGGCAGUUAUGUUCAGUGCCGUAGUUAACGCGUUAAGUGCACCGCCUGGGGAGUAUGCCCGCAAGGGUGAAACUCAAAGGAAUUGACGGGGGCCCGCACAAGCGGUGGAGCAUGUGGUUUAAUUCGACGAUACGCGAGAAACCUUACCAGGGUUUGACAUAUAAGCCGAAGUCCAAGAGAUUGGGCUGGCCUUUGGGCGGCUUAUACAGGUGCUGCAUGGUUGUCGUCAGCUCGUGCCGUGAGGUGUUGGGUUAAGUCCCGCAACGAGCGCAACCCCUGCUGUCUGUUACUACCAGGUAAUGCUGAGGACUCAGGCGGAACUGCCGGUGACAAACCGGAGGAAGGUGGGGACGACGUCAAAUCAUCAUGGCCCUUAUGUCCUGGGCUACACACGUGCUACAAUGGCCAGUACAGAGCGAGGCGAAACCGUGAGGUGGAGCAAAACGCAGAAAUCUGGUCUCAGUUCGGAUUGGAGUCUGAAACUCGACUUCAUGAAGUUGGAAUCGCUAGUAAUCGCGCAUCAGCAUGGCGCGGUGAAUACGUUCCCGGGCCUUGUACACACCGCCCGUCACACCACCCGAGUUGGAAGUACCCGAAGUCGCUAGUCUAACCGUCAAGGAGGACGGUGCCGAAGGUACGUCUGGUAAGGGGGGUGAAGUCGAAACAAGGUA
rnacentral:rRNA from 1 species